GAGAUAGAUUGGUGCCUUCGGGAACAUUGAGACAGGUGCUGCAUGGCUGUCGUCAGCUCGUGUCGUGAGAUGUUGAGUUAAGUCCCGUAACGAGCGCAACCCUUGUCCUUAGUUACAGCACGUUAUGGUGGGCACUCUAAGGAGACUGCCGGUGACAAACCGGAGGAAGGUGGGAUGACGUCAAGUCAUCAUGGCCCUUACGGCCUGGGCUACACACGUGCUACAAUGGUCGGUACAGAGGGUUGCCAAGCCGCGAGGUGGAGCUAAUCCCACAAAACCGAUCGUAGUCCGGAUCGCAGUCUGCAACUCGACUGCGUGAAGUCGGAAUCACUAGUAAUCGCGAAUCGGAAUGUCGCGGUGAAUACGUUCCCGGGCCUUGUACACACCGA
rnacentral:rRNA from 1 species